rnacentral:lncRNA from 1 species
ACACUAGCAAUAUGAAUGUUUCAGUAUUGUAGUUGGGAUGAUGCAGCAGAGCCGAAAAGAACAUCACAGGAGAGAUAUUUUUUAUAGCAGGCCUUGCAAUUUUUAUCCGAUCGUGUUAUGCAUCUCCGUACUUAAUCGUAGUGGCAAACAGCUUCGUAUGCCUCGGUGAUCGUCUUUGAUUAUCACGGAGUGUCACAGGCAUUUUUCAUGCAGCAAUAUAUAAUAAGCUGUCUUUUAGCUUUUCUCCGCAAGCACUCAACGUCAACAGGCAACACCGGAAGUCGGAACGUGUGUCCUCAACUGCUGGUGCCUUGGGUGGUAUAGUUCAAGCAACUCCAACCACCUUCAUCUCCCUCCUCAAGCUAAAAUUUAACAAGUCUGAUCGAAAAUCACAGUCCAACAAAGUUACUAUCCCAAUAGCCAUCCUAUCUAGCUUACCA